rnacentral:rRNA from 1 species
CAAUAGCGUAUAUUAAAGUUGUUGCAGUUAAAAAGCUCGUAGUGGGAUUUCUGGUGGGAGCGAUCGGUCUGGCGCUUAGCGCGAGUACUUGCAUCGUCUCCGGCCAUCCUUGGGGAGAGUCUGUCUGGCAUUAGGUUGUCGGGCAGAGGAUCCUCAUCGUUUACUGUGAAAAAAUUAGAGUGUUCAAAGCAGGCUUAUGCCGUUGAAUAUAUUAGCAUGGAAUAAUAAGAUAGGACUUUGGUACUAUUUUGUUGGUUUGCGCACCAAAGUAAUGAUUAAUAGGGACAGUUGGGGGUAUUCGUAUUCCGUUGUCAGAGGUGAAAUUCUUGGAUUUACGGAAGACGAACUACUGCGAAAGCAUUUACCAAGGAUGUUUUCAUUAA